AGGGAGAGGGGAGCAGGCCCUGGAGGUCACCUGGUCACCUAACUCUUCCUGUCUCCUCCUUCCCAGU
rnacentral:precursor_RNA from 1 species